rfam:Bacillus cereus Rock4-18 chromosome, whole genome shotgun sequence.
GAAAAGUGAAUAUUAUGCCGUCGUAUAAUAUCGGGGAUAUGGCCCGAAAGUUUCUACCUAGCUACCGUAAAUGGCUUGACUACGAGGCGUUUUUAUAAAGAU